UACAGAGGUGGCAAGCGUUGUUCGGAAUUACUGGGCGUAAAGGGCUCGUAGGCGGCCAACUAAGUCAGACGUGAAAUCCCCAGGCUCAACCUGGGAACUGCGUCUGAUACUGGAGGGCUUGAAUCCGGGAGAGGGAUGAAGAAUUCCAGGUGUAGCGGUGAAAUGCGUAGAUAUCUGGAGGAAUACCGGUGGCGAAGGCAGCAUCCUGGACCGGCAUUGACGCUGAGGAGCGAAAGCCAGGGGAGCAAACGGG
rnacentral:rRNA from 1 species